CUCCCAACCUGGGCUCCUGGAUCUUGAAGGUGGAGAAGGCACCUCUGCUGCAAAAGUUUCAACACUGCCACUAGCAUCUCCGUCCCAGAGGCUAGCGCAGAGAAGAA